CAAGGGAAAGUUAAGGAAGCCUCACUUGAUACAGAUGGAGUUUUGAGGAUUAGGGGUUGAGUUUGUGUGUCUAGAGUGGUGAUUGAAUUAGGUUGAUCUUAGAGGAGGCCCAUUGUACCAGAUAUUCUAUUAUCUAGGUGUGACUAAGAUGUAUUAUGAUUUGAGACAACACUACUGAUGGGGUGUUAUGAGGUAAGAUAUAGUAGGUUUUAUGGGUCAUUGCCUAUGUUGUUAACAGGUGAAUGCCGC
rnacentral:lncRNA from 1 species